UGACGCCGCCGUAUAAGUUCACCUUGAGAAAAUCAGAGGGUGAGGAAUCCCAAAAUAUAGAUAUAGUCCUGGGUGUGACGAGAGAGACUUGGCUCCAUCCUUAUAUAUCCUUCAAAGUUUCAAAUAGAAAAAUGUCUUCUUCCUUUCUUUUUUAUUUUUUUCCCCUUCUUUUAUCUCCCAAUUAAAGCUGUCAUGUGGGGUAAGAUGGGCCAACCGGUUCGGAUGCAACUGCGAGAUCCAUAAAGCUGCCAUUGGGGCCCGGUCUGGCCGUGAGAGGCGACCAAACCAAGCCCACAGUUGA
rnacentral:lncRNA from 1 species